GUGGGGAAUAUUGGACAAUGGGGGGAACCCUGAUCCAGCCAUGCCGCGUGUGUGAAGAAGGCCUUUUGGUUGUAAAGCACUUUAAGCGAGGAGGAGGCUACCGAGAUUAAUACUCUUGGAUAGUGGACGUUACUCGCAGAAUAAGCACCGGCUAACUCUGUGCCAGCAGCCGCGGUAAUACAGAGGGUGCAAGCGUUAAUCGGAUUUACUGGGCGUAAAGCGCGCGUAGGUGGCCAAUUAAGUCAAAUGUGAAAUCCCCGAGCUUAACUUGGGAAUUGCAUUCGAUACUGGGUGGCUAGAGUAUGGGAGAGGAUGGUAGAAUUCCAGGUGUAGCGGUGAAAUGCGUAGAGAUCUGGAGGAAUACCGAUGGCGAAGGCAGCCAUCUGGCCUAAUACUGACACUGAGGUGCGAAAGCAUGGGGAGCAAACAGGAUUAGAUACCCCGGUAGUCC
rnacentral:rRNA from 1 species